rnacentral:rRNA from 2 species
CGGCGGCCGUAACUAUAACGGUCCUAAGGUAGCGAAAUUCCUUGUCGGGUAAGUUCCGACCUGCACGAAUGGCGUAAUGAUGGCCAGGCUGUCUCCACCCGAGACUCAGUGAAAUUGAACUCGCUGUGAAGAUGCAGUGUACCCGCGGCAAGACGGAAAGACCCCGUGAACCUUUACUAUAGCUUGACACUGAACACUGGUCCUUGAUGUGUAGGAUAGGUGGGAGGCUUUGAAGCGUGGACGCCAGUCUGCGUGGAGCCAACCUUGAAAUACCACCCUUUAAUGGCUGGUGUUCUAACGUAGACCCGUGAUCCGGGUUGCGGACAGUGUCUGGUGGGUAGUUUGACUGGGGCGGUCUCCUCCUAAAGAGUAACGGAGGAGCACGAAGGUUAGCUAAUCCUGGUCGGACAUCAGGAGGUUAGUGCAAUGGCAUAAGCUAGCUUGACUGCGAGAGUGACGGCUCGAGCAGGUGCGAAAGCAGGUCAUAGUGAUCCGGUGGUUCUGAAUGGAAGGGCCAUCGCUCAACGGAUAAAAGGUACUCCGGGGAUAACAGGCUGAUACCGCCCAAGAGUUCAUAUCGACGGCGGUGUUUGGCACCUCGAUGUCGGCUCAUCACAUCCUGGGGCUGAAGUAGGUCCCAAGGGUACGGCUGUUCGCCGUUUAAAGUGGUACGCGAGCUGGGUUUAGAACGUCGUGAGACAGUUCGGUCCCUAUCUGCCGUGGGCGCUGGAGAAUUGAGGGGGGCUGCUCCUAGUACGAGAGGACCGGAGUGGACGCAUCACUGGUGUUCGGGUUGUCAUGCCAAUGGCAUUGCCCGGUAGCUAAAUGCGGAAAAGAUAAGUGCUGAAAGCAUCUAAGCACGAAACUUGCCCCGAGAUGAGUUCUCCCUGACUCCUUGAGAGUCCUGAAGGAACGUUGAAGACGACGACGUUGAUAGGUCGGGUGUGUAAGUGCAGCGAUGCAUUGAGCUAACCGAUACUAAUGAACCGUGAGGCUUAACCUUACAACGCCGAAGCUGUU